CCUACGGGAGGCAGCAGUGAGGAAUAUUGGUCAAUGGGCGCGAGCCUGAACCAGCCAAGUAGCGUGAAGGAUGACUGCCCUACGGGUUGUAAACUUCUUUUGUACAGGAAUAAAGUGAGGUACGUGUGCCUUUUUGUAUGUACUUUAUGAAUAAGGAUCGGCUAACUCCGUGCCAGCAGCCGCGGUAAUACGGAGGAUCCGAGCGUUAUCCGGAUUUAUUGGGUUUAAAGGGAGCGUAGAUGGGUGGUUAAGUCAGUUGUGAAAGUUUGAGGCUCAACCGUAGAAUUGCAAUUGAUACUGGCAGUCUUGAGUACAGUUGAGGUAGGCGGAAUUCGUGGUGUAGCGGUGAAAUGCUUAGAUAUCACGAAGAACACCGAUUGCGAAGGCAGCUUACUAAACUGCCACUGACAUUGAGGCUCGAAAGUGUGGGGAGCAAACAGGAUUAGAUACCCCGGUAGUC
rnacentral:rRNA from 1 species